GGAACAGAGAGAGAGUAGAACAGGAUGAGACAGGGAGGAACAGAGAGAGUAGAACAGGAUGAGACAGGGAGGAACGGAGAGAGUAGAACAGGAUGAGACAGGGAGGAACAGAGAGAGUAGAACAGGAUGAGACAGGGAGGAACAGAGAGAGAGAGUAGAACAGGAUUAGACAGGGAGGAACAGAGAGAGUAGAACAGGAUGAGACAGGGAGGAACAGAGAGAGAGAGUAGAACAGGAUGAGACAGGGAGGAACAGAGAGAGUAGAACAGGAUGAGACAGGGAGGAACAGAGAGAGAGUAGAACAGGAUGAGACAGGAAGGAACAGAGAGAGAGUAGAACUGGAUGAGACAGGAAGGAACAGAGAGAGAGAGAGAGUAGAACAGGAUGAGACAGGGAGGAACAGAGAGAGAGUAGAACAGGAUUAGACAGGGAGGAACAGAGAGAGUAGAAUAGGAUGAGACAGGGAGGAACAGAGAGAGAGUAGAACAGGAUGUGACAGGGAGGAACAGAGAGAGAGAGUAGAACAGGAUGAGACAGGGAGGAACAGAGAGAGAGUAGAACAGGGAGGAACAGAGAGAGUAGAACAGGAUGAGACAGGGAGGAACAGAGAGAGAGAGUAGAACAGGAUUAGACAGGGAGGAACAGAGAGAGUAGAACAGGAUGAGACAGGGAGGAACAGAGAGAGUAGAACAGGAUGAGACAGGGAGGAACAGAGAGAGAGUAGAACAGGAUGAGACAGGGAGGAACAGAGAGAGUAGAACAGGAUGAGACAGGGAGGAACAGAGAGAGAGUAGAACAGGAUGAGACAGGGAGGAACAGAGAGAGAGAGUAGAACAGGAUGGACAGGGAGGAACAGAGAGAGUAGAACAGGAUGAGACAGGGAGGAACAGAGAGAGUAGAACAGGGAGGAACAGAGAGAGAGUAGAACAGGAUUUGACAGGGAGGAACAGAGAGAGUAGAACAGGAUGAGGCAGGGAGGAACAGAGAGAGAGUAGAACAGGAUGAGACAGGGAGGAACAGAGAGAGUAGAACAGGAUGAGACAGGGAGGAACAGAGAGAGAGAGUAGAACAGGAUGAGACAGGGAGGAACAGAGAGAGAGAGUAGAACAGGAUUAGACAGGGAGGAACAGAGAGAGUAGAACAGGAUUAGACAGGGAGGAACAGAGAGAGUAGAACAGGAUUCGACAGGGAGGAACAGAGAGAGUAGAACAGGAUGAGACAUGGAGGAACAGAGAGAGUAGAACAGGAUGAGACAGGGAGGAACAGAGAGAGUAGAACAGGAUGAGACAGGGAGGAACAGAGAGAGUAGAACAGGAUGAGACAGGGAGGAACGGAGAGAGUAGAACAGGAUGAGACAGGGAGGAACAGAGAGAGAGUAGAACAGGAUGAGACAGGGAGGAACAGAGAGAGUAGAACAGGAUGAGACAGGGAGGAACAGAGAGAGAGUAGAACAGGAUGAGACAGGGAGGAACAGAGAGAGAGUAGAACAGGA
rnacentral:lncRNA from 1 species